AGCGAACGCUGGCGGCAGGCCUAACACAUGCAAGUCGAACGAAGUCUUCGGACUUAGUGGCGGACGGGUGAGUAACACGUGGGAACGUGCCUUUAGGUUCGGAAUAACUCAGGGAAACUUGUGCUAAUACCGAAUGUGCCCUUCGGGGGAAAGAUUUAUCGCCUUUAGAGCGGCCCGCGUCUGAUUAGCUAGUUGGUGAGGUAAAGGCUCACCAAGGCUACGAUCAGUAGCUGGUCUGAGAGGAUGACCAGCCACAUUGGGACUGAGACACGGCCCAAACUCCUACGGGAGGCAGCAGUGGGGAAUUUUGCGCAAUGGGCGAAAGCCUGACGCAGCCAUGCCGCGUGGAUGAUGAAGGUCUUAGGAUUGUAAAAUCCUCUCACCGGUGAAGGUAAUGACUGUAGCCGGAGAAGAAGCCCCGGCUAACUUCGUGCCAGCCGCCGCAGUAACAC
rnacentral:rRNA from 1 species